rnacentral:rRNA from 1 species
UACGAGGGGGGCAAGCGUUGUUCGGAAUUACUGGGCGUAAAGGGCUCGUAGGCGGCCAACUAAGUCAGACGUGAAAUCCCUCGGCUUAACCGGGGAACUGCGUCUGAUACUGGAUGGCUUGAGUAUGGGAGAGGGAUGCGGAAUUCCAGGUGUAGCGGUGAAAUGCGUAGAUAUCUGGAGGAACACCGGUGGCGAAGGCGGCAUCCUGGACCAACACUGACACUGAGGAGCGAAAGCCAGGGGAGCAAACGGG